rnacentral:rRNA from 1 species
CCUACGGGGGGCAGCAGUGGGGAAUAUUGCACAAUGGGGGAAACCCUGAUGCAGCGACGCCGCGUGAGUGAAGAAGUAUCUCGGUACGUAAAGCUCUAUCAGCAGGGAAGAAAAUGACGGUACCUGACUAAGAAGCCCCGGCUAACUACGUGCCAGCAGCCGCGGUAAUACGGAGGGGGCAAGCGUUAUCCGGAUUUACUGGGUGUAAAGGGAGCGUAGAAGGGAGCACAAGUCAGGAGUGAAAUCCCGGGGCUUAACCCCGGAACUGCUUUGGAUACUGUGCGGCUGGAGUGUAGGAGGGGUAAGCGGAAUGUCUAGUGUAGCGGUGAAAUGCAUAGAGAUCAGAAAGAACACCGGUGGCGAAGGCAGCUUACUGGACUGUAACUGACGUUGAGGCUCGAAAGCGUGGGGAGCAAACAGGAUUAGAUACCCGUGUAGUC